CUCAGUUCGGAUCGGAGUCUGCAACCCGACUCCGUGAAGCUGGAUUCGCUAGUAAUCGCGCAUCAGCCAUGGCGCGGUGAAUACGUUCCCGGGCCUUGUACACACCGCCCGUCAAGCCAUGGGAGCCGGGAGCGCUUGAAGUGCGUCGCCGCGAGGCGCGCCCUAGAGCGAGACCGGUGACUGGGGCUAAGUCGUAACAAGGUAGC
rnacentral:rRNA from 1 species